rfam:Triticum aestivum genome assembly, contig: Triticum_aestivum_CS42_TGACv1_scaffold_640924_T_2BL-0.164895_7BL-0.103435
UAGAUACUCCCUCCGUCCGAAAAUACUUGUCAUCAAAAUGGACAAAAAGGGAUGCAUCUAGAACUAAAAUACAUCUAGAUACAUGAUACAUCCCCUUUUAUUCAUUUUGAUGACAAGUAUUUCCGGACGGAGGGAGUACUAA